GAUCAAGCGAAUAAGUGCAUGUGGUGGAUGCCUUGGCGAUUACAGGCGAAGAAGGACGUGCAAGCCUGCGAAAAGCUCUGGGGAGCUGGCAAUGAAGCUUUGAUCCAGAGAUGUCCGAAUGGGGAAACCCACUCCGCAAGGAGUAUCCCAUCCUGAAUACAUAGGGGUGAGGAAGCGAACCCGGUGAACUGAAACAUCUAAGUAGCCGGAGGAAAAGAAAUCAACCGAGAUUCCCAAAGUAGUGGCGAGCGAAAUGGGACCAGCCUGCAAGUGAUAGCGAUUGUGUUAGUGGAAGCUUCUGGAAAGUUGCGCCGUAGUGGGUGAUAGCCCCGUACGCGAAAACACGAUUGUGGUACUAAGCUUGCGACAAGUAGGGCGGGGCACGAGAAACCUUGUCUGAACAUGGGGGGACCAUCCUCCAAGGCUAAAUACUCGUAAUCGACCGAUAGUGAACCAGUACCGUGAGGGAAAGGCGAAAAGAACCCCGGGAGGGGAGUGAAAUAGAUCCUGAAACCGCAUGCAUACAAACAGUGGGAGCGGACUUGUUCCGUGACUGCGUACCUUUUGUAUAAUGGGUCAGCGACUUACGUUCAGUAGCGAGCUUAACCGAAUAGGGGAGGCGUAGGGAAACCGAGUCUGAUAAGGGCGAUUAGUUGCUGGGCGUAGACCCGAAACCAAGUGAUCUAUCCAUGGCCAGGAUGAAGGUGCGGUAACACGCACUGGAGGUCCGAACCCACUAAUGUUGAAAAAUUAGGGGAUGAGCUGUGGAUAGGGGUGAAAGGCUAAACAAACUUGGAAAUAGCUGGUUCUCUCCGAAAACUAUUUAGGUAGUGCCUCACGUAUCACCUUCGGGGGUAGAGCACUGUUAUGGCUAGGGGGUCAUCGCGACUUACCAAACCAUUGCAAACUCCGAAUACCGAAGAGUGCGAGCGUGGGAGACAGACAUCGGGUGCUAACGUCCGGUGUCGAGAGGGAAACAACCCAGACCGCCGAUUAAGGUCCCCAAGACAUAGUUAAGUGGGAAACGAGGUGGGAAGGCUCAGACAGCCAGGAGGUUGGCUUAGAAGCAGCCAUCCUUUAAAGAAAGCGUAAUAGCUCACUGGUCGAGUCGUCCUGCGCGGAAGAUGUAACGGGGCUCAAACUAUGCACCGAAAUCGCGGAUAUGUGCGUUCCACUUUAAUUCAUUCGAAGAAAAGCUUGGGCGACACUAACUUGCGCAGCAAGUUAUGUGGAGACCAAAGCCCGUCACUCACUGAUCGAGUCGAUUUGACGAGAUGAGGGGUGAGAUGCGAAUGAGUGAAUUAAAGGGAACGCACAUAUGGUAGGAGAGCGUUCUGUAGGCCGUUGAAGGUGUCUUGAGAAGGAUGCUGGAGGUAUCAGAAGUGCGAAUGCUGACAUGAGUAGCGAUAAAGCGGGUGAAAGGCCCGCUCGCCGAAAGCCCAAGGUUUCCUGCGCAACGUUCAUCGGCGCAGGGUGAGUCGGCCCCUAAGGCGAGGCAGAAAUGCGUAGUCGAUGGGAAACAGGUUAAUAUUCCUGUACCUCUUUGUAAUGCGAUGGGGGGACGGAGAAGGUUAGGUCAGCCGGGUGUUGGACGUCCCGGUUCAAGCGUGUAGUCGUGCCCUGUAGGCAAAUCCGCAGGGCUUAGAUGAGGCGUGAUAACGAGUGGCCUUGUGCCGCGAAGUGAUUGAUACCAUGCUUCCAAGAAAAGCCUCUAAGCUUCAGUUACAAAGAGACCGUACCGCAAACCGACACAGGUGGGCAGGAUGAGAAUUCUAAGGCGCUUGAGAGAACUCAGGAGAAGGAACUCGGCAAAUUAGCACCGUAACUUCGGGAGAAGGUGCGCCCUGGUAGCGUGAAAGCCCUCGCGGCUGGAGCGUGAAAGGGUUGCAGUGAAAUGGUGGCUGCGACUGUUUAAUAAAAACACAGCACUCUGCAAACACGAAAGUGGACGUAUAGGGUGUGACGCCUGCCCGGUGCCGGAAGGUUAAGUGAUGGGGUGCAAGCUCUUGAUCGAAGCCCCGGUAAACGGCGGCCGUAACUAUAACGGUCCUAAGGUAGCGAAAUUCCUUGUCGGGUAAGUUCCGACCUGCACGAAUGGCGUAACGAUGGCCACACUGUCUCCUCCUGAGACUCAGCGAAGUUGAAAUGUUUGUGAAGAUGCAAUCUCCCCGCGGCAAGACGGAAAGACCCCAUGAACCUUUACUGUAGCUUUGCAUUGGACUUUGAACCGGUCUGUGUAGGAUAGGUGGGAGGCUUUGAAGCUGGGACGCUAGUUCUGGUGGAGCCAACCUUGAAAUACCACCCUGGUUUGUUUGAGGUUCUAACCAUGGCCCGUGAAUCCGGGUCUGGGACCGUGCAUGGUAGGCAGUUUGACUGGGGCGGUCUCCUCCCAAAGUGUAACGGAGGAGUACGAAGGUACGCUAGGUACGGUCGGACAUCGUGCUAAUAGUGCAAUGGCAUAAGCGUGCUUGACUGCGAGACCCACAAGUCGAGCAGGUACGAAAGUAGGUCAUAGUGAUCCGGUGGUUCUGUAUGGAAGGGCCAUCGCUCAACGGAUAAAAGGUACUCUGGGGAUAACAGGCUGAUACCGCCCAAGAGUUCAUAUCGACGGCGGUGUUUGGCACCUCGAUGUCGGCUCAUCACAUCCUGGGGCUGUAGCCGGUCCCAAGGGUAUGGCUGUUCGCCAUUUAAAGUGGUACGUGAGCUGGGUUUAAAACGUCGUGAGACAGUUUGGUCCCUAUCUGCCGUGGGCGCUGGAAAUUUGAAGGGACCUGCUCCUAGUACGAGAGGACCGGAGUGGACGAACCUCUGGUGUACCGGUUAUGACGCCAGUCGUAUCGCCGGGUAGCUAAGUUCGGAAGAGAUAAACGCUGAAAGCAUCUAAGCGUGAAACUCGCCUUAAGAUAAGAUUUCCCUGGGGACUUGAUCCCCCUGAAGGGUCGUCGAAGACCACGACGUUGAUAGGCUGGGUGUGGAAGCGCAGCAAUGCGUUAAGCUAACCAGUACUAAUUGCCCGUGCGGCUUGAUCCU
rfam:Propionivibrio sp. S1 isolate 2 genome assembly, contig: PROAA_Contig_6